rnacentral:lncRNA from 1 species
UAUUACAACAAUGGGUUGCCUUCGAAUCUCACCGGGGGAAGGAAUCCUAGCUUGGAUUAUGGUUUCAAAGGUGCUGAAAUCGCAAUGGCCUCAUAUUGUUCUGAACUCCAAUUCCUCGCGAAUCCGGUUACUAACCAUGUGCAAAGCGCUGAACAACACAAUCAAGAUGUCAACUCAUUAGGCCUAAUCUCAUCAAGGAAGACAGAGGAGGCACUUGACAUAUUGAAACUCAUGUCAUCCACUUACCUAGUGGCACUAUGUCAAGCAAUUGACUUGAGGCAUUUGGAAGAGAAUCUCAAAGCCACAGUGAAAAGUGCAGUGAGUUUAGCAGCCAAGAAAGUGUUGAUCACUGGCCAAAAUGGUGAACUUCACCAAUC